ensembl:lncRNA
CGGCCGCAGCCCCGGGAUGGGGGUGAGGCGUGGUGGGCACGGCAGAGCCGCGGAGCUGUUCCUCCCUCCGUUCCAGCUCCGGCCCGCCUACCUGCGCCACACCGCCCCGGCUGUACCUGGGCUGCAGGUGCCCUUGGGGCUCCCGCCCAAAGCCAGCGCAGCUCCGGAGAGUGCCAGAGUUCGUCGUGUCCUAUGGGAGCUUGCUGACGGGGCGAAAGCAGCACGGACCCAACAAAUCAGCCCAAAAUCUCGAAGAGGUGCCAGCAGCAAUGGUCACAGUUUCCAAGUGUCAGAGCAAGCUAAGAAGAUGGUGAAAGAGAAGAGGUGGUCAUGCAAGUGGGAGCAUUCUCUGUACCUUGUACAGCUCUGCCAAGUCUGACCAAUUACACCACUUCUUACACAUAUGAAGCUGUGUUACUCACGUAAAGUAACAACCAGAGUACAGAGAGUUACCUCCUACAUGCCAAAGGAUGCUCAGGGACCAGGAGAGAGAGAUGCUUCAGUUUCAGCAAAGACCAGCAGUGACUGAUGGCACAAGGGACGAGGAUGCAAAGCAAAGCAUCAUAUUUAUUAUUCUUGGACUUCAAGAAGAAUAGAGUUGGCUUCUUAUUUAAAGCCAAGUUUUUAUCUUCUUGUAGUCAUUGAACUUUAGAGGGUAUCUCUGACAUUCCCAUGCAAUGCUCAGGAGUGAAAGCAUAUCUGAAAGAGGCAUAAAGAAACAGCUAAAGACAACAGAAGUCUUGAAGAAAUUGCAAAGCACAGCUGUUUGUGAAAAUGGGAAGUAGAAAAUACAGCAUAAUGAGAGAAAGAAAUACACAAAUCAAGGAGUGAUGGAAGCAAUAUGAAAUGCAUUACAAGAAAAGGCAUAGCACAAUAAAGAGAAAAAAAACCAUAACCAGAAGAUUUAGAAAUAUCCGUAUCUUUAAAAAAAUUAAUAAGUUAAGGUGCCAUAAGUGUCUUCUCCAAACAAAACAGAGGCACUCAUCAUUAUAUGCAAAUGCACAGGAAAUAAAAGGAAGAGUCCUUUUCCCCAGCUGGAAAAACGUGUUACCAGUACACAUUCUUUAUUAGCAAGGUUAAGGGAAAAGGAACAAAUAAUCUGGAACUUGAAAGCUAUUUUCAUAACUGAAGAGGUUACAGCACAUGUAAGGAAGUUACUUUUACUCAUUACCUAGUGUUUUGGGGUUUUUUAAAAUCUCUAUUCUAUUAGGUAAAUGCCAACAUCAAAAAAACAAACAAACAAAAAUCCCAAAAAACAAACAACCCACCAAAAAACAAACCCCAUACAUUGAAAAACUCUGAAUUAAGUCAUCAUUCUUGUCUACACUCUUUUUUACCCCGAGACUUUGUCUGGGGGAUACUGCUAAACAUGGUAAUUGCUUUUCAAAGUCAGGUGAGGAUACAUCUCACCAUGUAACUGUUCCUUCCAUGAACACCCAGCCUUGGCAAACUGACUUGUUCUGCUACUUCAAAUGGGCGCAUCUGACAUUCAUAUAGAAAUCCCUUCUUUACCUUCCAGGCACAGGAAGGCAUUACAGCAAACAGCAGCUCAGAUUUCCUUUCCAGGAGCUAUUAGGUUGGAUAGAUACUGCCCAUAGUUUGCUCUGCAUAACGUGUUUCUAACAGCUGAGACCUUCACAGUGCGCAUUGAAUCAGUCUGUGCUGUUCUAAGCUUUCUGGAGGCUUUCAAAUAGCAUAUUUAAAACACAAACGAACCUCCAUAAAGCCACUCGCCCUCCAAAAUUUCUGUCCACACAUCAGGCUGUGACUUUUACAAAGACAAACCUUUUUAAGUCCUUAGGUCUUAAGGCAGUUUCACAUACAAUUGUUUCAGCUUCCUAUAAUCCUGUAAAAUCUGUCUAGUAUGCUUCAAGGGUUUUUAAUCUGUCCAUGAUCCUUUUUACUGAAGUUUUAUAUUCUCUCACUUGGAAAUUCAGGAAUAGAAUACAUGAGCAAAAAGACUAAAGUAAUGGGAAUCAUAGUGGUAAAUGUGCAUCUAUUUACUAAUGAAUACAGCCAAGUAAAAUCACAGCUAGCUAUUUAAUAUCAGCAGUAAACACAUUUGCAUUUUGGUUGCAAUCUCAGUAGAUUUUUUAGUUUCUUUGUUUUACAGUCUGCCCUGUUUUUUCUGUCUUGACUGAUCAUCUUUUUAUGGAGAUGCCUCUUUCUUUUGGAUAUUCAGGUCACAAUGUAUAUACAUACAUAUUUGCAUAAGUCAAAGUCUUUGUUCCAUGAGGUACAAUACCCUGCAGCUUUGAAACCUUAUAAAACAUUUAAAAGUACAACAGGAAGGUAUAAUAAAAGAAUUGGCAUAUACUUUUACACUGUUAUGUGACAUAAAGCUUGACUGACUAUACUGAGCUACUAAUAGCAAAAGAGCUAACUGUGAGUCACGUGAAGUUCCAGCAGAGGAAUUCCUGUCUGGCUGUGCACUUGCAGUGCCAGCUGAUUUGAGGAACCCCAAGCUCCAUCAGUUAUAGAAAUGUUUAUGUUGGAGAAGACCACCAAGAUCAUCAAGUCCAACCAUUACCCUGCACAGCCAAGUCCAUCACUAAACCUUGUCCCUCACUACCACACAUACAGAUCGUUCCAAUACCUCCAGGGAUUGUGACUUGGCCACUUCCCUGAGCAGCCUGUUCCAAUGCUCAGCAGCUCUUUCAGUGAAGGAAUUUUUCUUAAUCUCCAAGUUAAACUUCCCCUGGCACAAUCUGAGGCUAUUUUCUCUUGUCCCAUCACUUGUUAAUUGGGAGAAGAGACCACCUCCCAUCUGCUCCAGGCUCCUUCCAGGAGUUGUAGAGGGCGAUAAGGGCAUCCCUCAGCCUCCUCCCAGCUAAACACCCCCAACUCCCAUAGCCCUUUGCCAAAAAUCUUGUGCUCCAGACCCUUCCCCAGCUCUGUUGCCCUUUUCUGGACAGGCUCCAGCACCUCCAUGUCCUUCUUGUCAUGAGGGGCCCAGAACCAAACACAGUUGUCUUAGGUUGCAAUACAGAUGUUACCAAAAGUAUCUAUUCUAUCACCAUCUGUUGAAACCAGGUGGGGCAGUGAUCCUUAUCUCCGUGGGACAUAUUCUCUGCUAAUGGGCCAUCUGUUAAACACCAGGUUGGGCAGUGUUCUUUAUCUUUUCACAACCCAUCCUUCCUCCAGGAAGAUAUUUGCUGUUAAUGGGCCAUUGAGUCCCACUGUAUGACUGAUAAAAUUACUGCAUCCCACUGGGAGAUGCUUCACCCAGAGGGAGGAGCCAAGCAUUUCACACCUAGAUAAAAAUGAGAUUUGGAACACAAAAGUAGCCUUCUUUCCACUGGAUUCCAGAGGAAAACUGGACCUUUUCCACAUCAUCACUGGAUCUUCAGGGGAAAACUGCAUCCUUCUACAGGAGCACUGCUUCAACUGAACCACAUCUGUCACUGCAAGGGGACUGCAACCACCAUUUAAUGGGACUGCUACCAACACCCUGCCUGACGGGGUGUCAGGUUGUAUUCUAACUCUGUCAGUGUUUUGGGUUUGUACUUUGUAAUACUCUAUUUCUAUUUAAAUUUUCCUAGUACAUAACUGUUAUUCCUAAUUCCCAUAUCUUUGCAUGAGAGCCCCUUAAUUUCAAAAUUAUAAUAAUUUGGAGGGAGGGGGUUUACAUUCUCAAUUUCAAACAGAGGGUCUUGCCUUUCUUAGCAGACACCUGUCCUCCAAACCAGGACAGAUUUUGAGGUGCAGCCUCACCAGUGCCGAGUACAAGGGGACGAUCACUGCCCUGGUACUGCUGAUGGCACUGUUGCUGAUACAGGCCAGGAUGCCAUUGGCCUUCAUGGCCACCUGGGCUUAUGUUCAGCUGGAAGUGACCUGGUGUGGUGGGAAGGUCUGGAAAGCACACACACACCUCACAAGUUUGGCUCUUAAGUGAGAAAGAUAGAUCAGUAAACUAAGUGAAUAGAGGAAGAAAGAAGGGAGGAAUGGGCAUGAGCAAUAGCCGUGAGUAGCUGAAAAUAUACAGUAACAGGAAACAAAUACAGCAAAAAUGCCUCUACAAAAGAGAUCCACAGUAUUAAAGCUUAGCCAUUGGGCACAAAUAUAUCCUCAACAAAACACAGAGAGUAAAACCAAUUGAUCUCAGACUUAACAUAUUAAGAAUUACAGAACUAUACUAUGAAGUUAUACUGGAUACCACUCACUAAAAGAGAGAGUGUUUUGUCACUGAAGCUGCAGUGGCCUAUAAUAAUACUGCAUUACACAAAGCGACGUUGCUAUCUUAUUUAUCGAUAUUGCUCAUGAAUAAUGUAUACUAUUUCAACACUUAGUAAAUGAAACAGAACACAAAUAAGAUCUUUACUGGACUCAGGGUAUCACUGAGCAGUAAUUAGCCUAUUUGCAAAAAUUACAAUAAAAAAGGAGGGAAAAAGAGGUUCUGACGGAUUUUACAUAUCCUGUACCACCACUAACCCAGGUCAAUCAUCAGCUUCUGGAAAACACAGCAGUAAUUUUUUGUGGCAAAUAUAUGUGUGGGGUGGGGGGAGCGCCUCUUUUUACUUAGCUCAAUCAUAUUGGAAGUAGCACAACUCUAGCUCCAUCAUGUUUCAGGAAAACCACAAAACUCAGCUUAGGUAGAAACAAGCUCAUUCAGAGCUCUGUGGACAAUUACUGUCUCUUUGAGCUUCAAAAACAUUAUGCUGUCAUAAUUAUUCUGUGACUUAGAUAUUUUUCCCUUCUCUGCUUCUGUAAGUUGCAUUUCAGUAUCUUUUGCAUUAAAAAUGUGAGUAAAACAAGAUUAUUAUUGCCACAGAUUUCCAAUUGUGAUGUUCAAUCUAUUUUUUCUUUUAUCCUCACAGGUAUCACAUUGUAGAAAACUAUUGCUGGAGUGGUGUGUUAAAUUUCCACCUCCCUACGCUUUCAUAUCCUCUUAGAUUAAGCAAGUGCAUGUUUUUUUUUUGCUGAACUGCUGGUCUUCCACUGGGAAUUCAUAAUUUGAUUUGCCCUUAAUACACAAAGAGCAUAAAAGCAUAGGAAGCUAAUGAUUUCUGAACCUAGAACUGCAAUCUUGUCUCCUUAUUUUUGUUCCAUGGAUAAUU